AUGAGUGUGUGGAGGGAGAUGCUGUCUGUGAUGAACAGUCCAGAGUUGGCCCCCACAGCUCUUGUCUCUGAUUCCUGCAGGAAGCCAAGGGAUGCCUGGGAUGCCAGGGCUGAAGGGCCAGCCAGGCCUCCCAGGACCUUCCGGCCAGCCAGGCCUGUACGGGCCUCCAGGACUGCAUGGAUUCCCAGGAGCUCCUGGCCAAGAGGGGCCCUUGGGGCUGCCAGGAAUCCCAGGCCGUGAAGGUCUGCCUGGUGAUAGAGGGGACCCUGGGGACACAGGCGCUCCUGGCCCUGUGGGCAUGAAAGGUCUCUCUGGUGACAGAGGAGAUGCUGGCUUCACAGGGGAGCGAGGCCAUCCAGGAAGCCCUGGAUUUAAAGGAAUUGAUGGAAUGCCUGGGACCCCCGGGCUAAAAGGAGAUAGAGGCUCACCUGGGAUGGAUGGUUUCCAAGGCAUGCCUGGACUCAAAGGGAGACCCGGGUUUCCAGGGAGCAAAGGCGAGGCUGGAUUUUUCGGAAUACCCGGUCUGAAGGGUCUGGCUGGUGAGCCAGGUUUUAAAGGCAGCCGAGGGGACCCUGGGCCCCCAGGACCACCUCCUGUCAUCCUGCCAGGAAUGAAAGACAUUAAAGGAGAGAAAGGAGAUGAAGGGCCUAUGGGGCUGAAAGGAUACCUGGGCGCAAAAGGUAUCC
rnacentral:sRNA from 1 species